rnacentral:lncRNA from 1 species
UCAGAUUGGUUUUCAUCUCCAUUUUUGCAAUUGAGUUGCUUGUUCUACUUGUUCUUGCUUGUUCUUCGAUUGCUUGCAGGACGAGUGCCCUAGUGGCCGGGUGACGCGCUCCACAAGAUCGCGACAGCCAUUGGAGGUGGUGUAUCGGUUGCUAAGGCGCAGUUUGGAAGGCUGUAGUCGGGCCGUGAACGUCGUCUCCAUCCACCAAUCGAGUUAUCCCAUGCCUCUCAUCGA